rnacentral:rRNA from 1 species
UACGUAGGUCCCGAGCGUUGUCCGGAUUUAUUGGGCGUAAAGCGAGCGCAGGUGGUUUAUUAAGUCUGGUGUAAAAGGCAGUGGCUCGACCAUUGUAUGCAUUGGAGACUGGUAGACUUGAGUGCAGGAGAGGAGAGUGGAAUUCCAUGUGUAGCGGUGAAAUGCGUAGAUAUAUGGAGGAACACCGGUGGCGAAAGCGGCUCUCUGGCCUGUAACUGACACUGAGGCUCGAAAGCGUGGGGAGCAAACAGG